AGGACGAACGCUGGCGGCGUGCUUAACACAUGCAAGUCGAACGGAAAGGCCCUUUCGGGGGUACUCGAGUGGCGAACGGGUGAGUAACACGUGGGUGAUCUGCCCUGCACUUCGGGAUAAGCUUGGGAAACUGGGUCUAAUACCGGAUAGGACUACGGACUUCAUGGUUUGUGGUGGAAAGCUUUUGCGGUGUGGGAUGGGCCCGCGGCCUAUCAGCUUGUUGGUGGGGUGAUGGCCUACCAAGGCGACGACGGGUAGCCGGCCUGAGAGGGUGUCCGGCCACACUGGGACUGAGACACGGCCCAGACUCCUACGGGAGGCAGCAGUGGGAACAUUGCGCAAUGGGCGAAAGCCUGACGCAGCGACGCCGCGUGGGGAUGAAGGCCUUCGGGUUGUAAACCCUUUCGGCAGGGACGAAGCGAAGUGACGGUACCUGCAGAAGAAGCGCCGGCUAACUACGUGCCAGCAGCCGC
rnacentral:rRNA from 1 species